rnacentral:rRNA from 1 species
GUGGGGAAUUUUGGACAAUGGGCGCAAGCCUGAUCCAGCAAUGCCGCGUGCAGGAAGAAGGCCUUCGGGUUGUAAACUGCUUUUGUACGGAACGAAACGGUCCUGGCUAAUAUCCGGGGCUAAUGACGGUACCGUAAGAAUAAGCACCGGCUAACUACGUGCCAGCAGCCGCGGUAAUACGUAGGGUGCGAGCGUUAAUCGGAAUUACUGGGCGUAAAGCGUGCGCAGGCGGUGCUGUAAGACAGGCGUGAAAUCCCCGGGCUCAACCUGGGAAUUGCGCUUGUGACUGCAGGGCUGGAGUGCGGCAGAGGGGGAUGGAAUUCCGCGUGUAGCAGUGAAAUGCGUAGAUAUGCGGAGGAACACCGAUGGCGAAGGCAAUCCCCUGGGCCUGCACUGACGCUCAUGCACGAAAGCGUGGGGAGCAAACAGGAUUAGAUACCCCAGUAGUCC